rnacentral:rRNA from 1 species
UAAUACAGAGGGUGCGAGCGUUAAUCGGAUUUACUGGGCGUAAAGCGUGCGUAUGCGGCUUUUUAAGUCGGAUGUGAAAUCCCUGAGCUUAACUUAGGAAUUGCAUUCGAUACUGGGAAGCUAGAGUAUGGGAGAGGAUGGUAGAAUUCCAGGUGUAGCGGUGAAAUGCGUAGAGAUCUGGAGGAAUACCGAUGGCGAAGGCAGCCAUCUGGCCUAAUACUGACGCUGAGGUACGAAAGCAUGGGGAGCAAACAGGAUUAGAUACCCUGGUAGUCCAUGCCGUAAACGAUGUCUACUAGCCGUUGGGGCCUUUGAGGCUUUAGUGGCGCAGCUAACGCGAUAAGUAGACCGCCUGGGGAGUACGGUCGCAAGACUAAA